GCUAGUGGGUCAAUUGGUUUGAU
rnacentral:siRNA from 1 species